rnacentral:misc_RNA from 1 species
AAGUCGUAACAAGGUUUUCCUUCCGCUUAAAGCUCUUAACCCGCCGAAGCCUGACAUGGCGACUAUAAAUAACCAUGAAGUUUUGCCCCCCGGGGCAGGACAAUACCGCUGAAAUGCUGUGAUCAACGUGACCGUUGUACCAGCAGCCCUUCACUGGGCCCACAGAUCAAGCUGCGGUGGUCUUACCUGGAAUAACCUGGUAGACUUUAAUAUGACCGGUCUCGCCUGUGACGGCUGAGAGUCGACGUUCCGUAGGUGAACCCGCGGAAGGAUCAUUACCGAGUUAGGGUCUUUAAGGCCCGACCUCCAACCUUUUGUUUAACAAACCAUGUUGCUUUGGCGGGCCCGCCCCCUUGGGGCCGCCGGGGGUUUGAUCACCCCUGGCCCGUGCCUGUCGGUAGCCUUUUUAAAUUCUUAAUAAACGUGUCGUCUGAGUACAAAUAUAAAUCGGUAAAA